CUUUGGAACCUGCAUGAAAAGGGCUGAUAACCCUCCACCACAGCAUCAAGCAGCAACCUACACCCUGAGUGGACUUGUGCCUGACACCUUGUGCCUUAAGCUGGUGUUGCAAAAGCAGCAAAAUGGCUAUCUGCUCACACUGAGGAGACGGACCUGCGUCUACAUCUUGUGUCCUGCUGGUGAUGGUGGUGGGAUCCCUACCUGACACCUGGGAGUGUAUC